rnacentral:rRNA from 1 species
GUACACGCUGUGACUAGCAUAUCAAUAAGCGGAGGAAAAGAAACUAACAAGGAUUCCCCUAGUAACGGCGAGUGAAGCGGGAAGAGCUCAAAUUUGAAAUCUUAAAGGGUUUCCCUUUACGAAUUGUAGUUUAAAGAAGUGUUUUCUGUUGAAGUUUUGGUAAAAGUUCUUUGGAAUAGGACAUCAUAGAGGGUGAGAAUCCCGUAUUUGACCUUUACUUUCAACUUUGUGAUACACUUUCAAAGAGUCGGAUUGUUUGGGAAUGCAGUCCAAAAUGGGUGGUAAAUUUCAUCUAAAGCUAAAUAUUGGCGAAAGACCGAUAGCGAACAAGUACCGUGAGGGAAAGAUGAAAAGAACUUUGAAAAGAGAGUUAAACAGUACGUGAAAUUGUCAAAAGGGAAGCGUUUGACACCAGUGUUGUUUUUCUGAAAAUCAAUUAAAGAACUGUUUAUGCUAAGUUGUUUAGACUUUAUCAGCUAUCUGUUUAGUUUUGAGCUUUUCUUUAAUGCACUUUUCAGUUAACAAGUCAACAUCAAUUUCUUUUGCUGUAAAAAAGCUUGAGGAAGGUGGCUUGAGAUUCGUCUUAAGUGUUUAUAGCCUCUUGCCUAUGCAGUCGGAGAGAUUGAGGUCUGCAGCGUAGAUCCUUCGGGGCUAAAUGCAUUUGUGCUAAGUUAUAGCAUUUUAUAGGACAACUUGUUGACUAUGAUUUGUCUUGUAGCUUACUCGCUUAUGUUAUUUUACCUACGCUUAGGAUGUUGAUAUGCAUGACUGAUAU